rnacentral:rRNA from 1 species
UACGGGGGGGGCGAGCGUUGUUCGGAAUCACUGGGCGUAAAGGGCGCGUAGGCGGCCCGCACAAGUCUGCGGUGAAACCCCCGGCUUAACCGGGGGCCGGCCGGUGGAAACUGUCGGGCUGGAGGCUGGGAGAGGGCAGCGGAAUUCCCGGUGUACGCGGUGAAAUGCGUAGAGAUCGGGAGGAACACCGGCGGCGAAGGCGGCUGCCUGGACCGAGUCCUGACCGCU